UUUCCGAUUUCUUCUUCUCUCGCGACCCUUACGUUCCUGCUGUACCCGGAAGUAGUUCUGUGAUGCGAGGCUGUUCAGACUAGAGCGUCAGGAAAAGACUAAAGAUUAGAUUAUAGGAAAAAAAUAAGCCAUGUUUCGAAGGCCUGUGUUACAGGUACUUCAACAGUUUGUAAGACAUGAGUCUGAAAUAGCUAACAGCUUGAUUCUUGAAAGAUCUCUGAAUCGUGUCCAGUUACUUGGGCGAGUGGGUCAGGACCCUGUCAUGAGACAGGUGGAAGGAAAAAACCCAGUCACGAUAUUUUCUCUAGCAACAAAUGAGAUGUGGCGAUCAGGGGAAAAUGAAACAUAUCAAAUGGGCGAUAUCAGUCAAAAGACAACAUGGCACAGAAUUUCAGUAUUCCGACCAGGCCUCAGAGAUGUGGCUUAUCAGUAUGUGAAAAAGGGGUCUCGAAUCUAUGUGGAAGGGAAAGUAGACUACGGCGAAUACACGGAUAAAAAUAAUGUGAGGCGACAAGCAACAACAAUCAUAGCUGAUAACAUUAUAUUUCUGACCGACCAGACAAAAGAGAAGGCAUAGAGUGGAUGAUUCUUUGGCCAUUGUUUUAUGUGGUAAGAUGAAGGAUGCGGAGACAACUGCCUUUGAAAGAAGAGUGUAUUACUUGCAGUUCUCAAGAGGAGGGCGCACGCCACGCCAUGCAGGACCACACCAAGCCCUGCGGGAGCACGUGGGGAAGCACAGGGCUGAAUCUCCAGUAGCCAUCUCGGACCAUGAGAUGAUCUUCAGGAUGGAAGAGAGGAGAAUCUGGGAUCUGUGAUGACCAUGGAACUGUCACACCGGUUCUGGACAGUCUACCUCUGGACUUCUUUGGGAGACACAAAUAAAUCUCUACUUUGUUUAA